GAUGAAGAACGUAGCGAAAUGCGAUAAGUAAUGUGAAUUGCAGAAUUCAGUGAAUCAUCGAAUCUUUGAACGCGCAUUGCGCCCGCCAGUAUUCUGGCGGGCAUGCCUGUUCGAGCGUCAUUUCAACCCUCAAGCCCAGCUUGGUGUUGGGGAUCGGCACAGGCGCCCUCGGGCGCCCGCCGUCCCCUAAAUCUAGUGGCGGUCCCGCUGCAGCCUCCUCUGCGUAGUAGUUUUCUCCUCGCAAGGGCAGCUCGGUGGCGACCUCGCCGUAAAACCCCCAACUUCUGAAAGGUUGACCUCGAAUCAGGUAGGAAUACCCGCUGAACUUAAGCAUAUCAAUAAGCGGAGGA
rnacentral:misc_RNA from 1 species